CUGCCACCCGCUUGCCUGCGGGACACCGGAGUCAAGAGGCUGCCCACGCCGCUGCCUGUCCGUUCCACGGUUCCGAGGUCUCCACCGUCUCCCCGCGCGCCGCAGGCGGCACCAAACUCUGCGCUCCCCGCGGUGCGCCCUGCCCGCGCAGUGCGCGUCCAGAGGAAAUCCGCCCCGGGCUUUCGAAGUGCAGGGCUGGGGGCUGCAUGGAAGUUUCCCCAAGGUCUGGGGACAAGAAAAACUCUUACGACUUUGUAAAUAUUGAUGGAUUGUUUUCUCUAAGG
rnacentral:lncRNA from 1 species